GACGAACGCUGGCGGCGUGCUUAACACAUGCAAGUCGAACGCUGAAGCCUAGCUUGCUGGGUGGAUGAGUGGCGAACGGGUGAGUAACACGUGAGUAACCUGCCCUCUUCUUUGGGAUAACGCCCGGAAACGGGUGCUAAUACUGGAUAUUCACUGGCCUUCGCAUGGGGGUUGGUGGAAAGGUUUUUUCUGGUGGGGGAUGGGCUCGCGGCCUAUCAGCUUGUUGGUGGGGUGAUGGCCUACCAAGGCUUUGACGGGUAGCCGGCCUGAGAGGGUGACCGGUCACAUUGGGACUGAGAUACGGCCCAGACUCCUACGGGAGGCAGCAGUGGGGAAUAUUGCACAAUGGGCGAAAGCCUGAUGCAGCGACGCCGCGUGAGGGAUGGAGGCCUUCGGGUUGUAAACCUCUUUCGCUCAUGGUCAAGCCGCAACGUUUGGUUGUGGUGAGGGUAGUGGGUAAAGAAGCGCCGGCUAACUACGUGCCAGCAGCCGCGGUAAUACGUAGGGCGCGAGCGUUGUCCGGAAUUAUUGGGCGUAAAGGGCUUGUAGGCGGUUGGUCGCGUCUGCCGUGAAAUCCUCUGGCUUAACUGGGGGCGUGCGGUGGGUACGGGCUGACUUGAGUGCGGUAGGGGAGACUGGAACUCCUGGUGUAGCGGUGGAAUGCGCAGAUAUCAGGAAGAACACCGGUGGCGAAGGCGGGUCUCUGGGCCGUUACUGACGCUGAGGAGCGAAAGCGUGGGGAGCGAACAGG
rnacentral:rRNA from 1 species